AUUGAACGCUGGUGGCGUGCCUAAUACAUGCAAGUAGGACGCAGUUGCGAACGUGUGAGUAACGCGUCUGUCACUACCUAUUAGAGGGGGAUAACUAUUGGAAACGAUAGCUCAUACCGCAUACUAGUAGAUGGACCUGCGUUGUAUUAGCUAGUAGGUAGGGGAAUGGCCUACCUAGGCAACGAUACAUAGACGACCUGGGAGGGGGAGCGGCCACACUGGGACUGGGACACGGCCCAGACUCCUACGGGAGGGAGCAGUAGGGAAACUUCGGCAAUGGGGGGAAACCUGACCGAGCAACGCCGCGGGAGUGAAGAAGGGUUUCGGGUCGUAAAGCGCUGUUGUUAAGGAAGCGGUACUUAACCAGAAAGGGACGGCUAACUACGUGCCAGCAGCCGCGGUAAUAC
rnacentral:rRNA from 1 species